ACGCUUCCUGGAAGAGAUGCAUUGCGGAGCUCGCUAGUUGGGGCGUUGGCCUUCCUUAGGAGUGUGAGUCUAGCGUUAUCCCUUUUUUCCGGCUGGAUCCCGGGUUACCCCACCAGCCCGACCUCAACCCACUCACGUCCACAGCACGAGCCCCAGCGGCCUUGCGCGGUGCUUGCUCUCUAGUAGCGGCUGACUAGGACUUUGCGUGUGACCACUGCACCUCCAGGAAGGCCAGGUGCACAUCGCUUCCCAUGCGCCCGGCCUCAUGGCCUUUGGGGGUUGUCGUGUGGAAUGGAGAUGACACGAGUGCUGCAUGUGAGGUCAGUCAGGAUCUUUGAUUUUGGAGCACAAGCCUUCUGCGUGCUACUGACUGGGUCCUGGCCUCCCUCCUUCCAUGGCAUCGUCGUGAAUGGGAAUUUCCACCACUGCCUCCAUUAGGUAACUAUGUCAGAAGAUUGAACAUGUUGUAACUGUAGAAAGCCCGUCAUCCUUGUGUAUGCACUUGCUGAAAGAUCCACUGAAGAGCAACCUUCAUGAACAUUACCAGGGGACUUGUGCUCCUAUAAAACGCACUGUUUUCCUCACUGCGAGGUGGGUCUCUCACCGCGAUGGACUAUCUGUGAUCACAGAGCACUUCUUCCCUGGGCCUUCCCUGUCACACUGAUGGUGUGAGUAUGUAGGGCAGGGGUGGGAGUGAACAUGUUAAUCUCUUUUGAAUAAACUGAUUUUGAAGUAGAUGUCUCAAAAAAAA
rnacentral:lncRNA from 1 species